UACGAAGGGGGCUAGCGUUGUUCGGAAUUACUGGGCGUAAAGGGCGCGUAGGCGGCCAAGUAAGUUGGGGGUGAAAGCCCGUGGCUCAACCACGGAAUUGCCUUCGAUACUGCUUGGCUUGAGACCGGAAGAGGUGAGUGGAACUGCGAGUGUAGAGGUGAAAUUCGUAGAUAUUCGCAAGAACACCAGUGGCGAAGGCGGCUCACUGGUCCGGAUCUGACGCUGAGGCGCGAAAGCGUGGGGAGCAAACAGG
rnacentral:rRNA from 1 species